CCUUUGGAAAGCUUCCGUGCGCGCCGUCCGCGCCCUGGCACCGCCCGCGUCUGUGCUGGAGAGGCGUGGGAGCGGCGUGGGAGCGGCGUGGGCGCGCCCCUCGCGUCUUGGUGUGAAGGAACGGUGGCCCCACGGGUGAAGAGUACAGAAGAGGAAGCCGUCGUCUUGUCCUGGAGCGGCAACAUUCUCAACAGAGCUACGUUCUGGAAACGUUCUCAGUGCUGCUGAUUGCAACAUGUUCCUCACAUACCCAGCUUCAAGGAUUUGACUCACGGAAGUCCUCAGUCCUUGUCUGUCUUCAGAUUUCACACAUCAGACAUGCGACCCCCCACGUACCUGGGGCGUGAGCCUGAAGGAUUCCUAAGAGAAGAUGAAGAUAUUUCACUGUUGAGAAUACUGGAAAAUACUGGACAAACACUCAGGUUGCUGGACAUUGUCCACUGUCUUAAGAGCUGAGGACUAGGGUCGCCUGAGUGGCUCAGUCUGUUAAGUGUCCGACCAUGGCUCAGGUCAUGAUCUCACGGUUCGUGGGUUCAAGCCUCUCAUCAGGUCUGUGCUGAUGGCUCAGAGCCUGGAGCCUGCUUGGGA